AACGAACGCUGGCGGCAUGCCUAACACAUGCAAGUCGAACGAACCCUUCGGGGUUAGUGGCGCACGGGUGCGUAACACGUGGGAAUCUGCCCUUUGCUUCGGAAUAACAGUUAGAAAUGACUGCUAAUACCGGAUAAUGUCGCAAGACCAAAGAUUUAUCGGCAAAGGAUGAGCCCGCGUAGGAUUAGCUUGUUGGUGGGGUAAUGGCCCACCAAGGCGACGAUCCUUAGCUGGUCUGAGAGGAUGAUCAGCCACACUGGGACUGAGACACGGCCCAGACUCCUACGGGAGGCAGCAGUGGGGAAUAUUGGACAAUGGGCGAAAGCCUGAUCCAGCAAUGCCGCGUGAGUGAUGAAGGCCUUAGGGUUGUAAAGCUCUUUUACCAGGGAUGAUAAUGACAGUACCUGGAGAAUAAGCUCCGGCUAACUCCGUGCCAGCAGCCGCCGUAACAC
rnacentral:rRNA from 1 species